UACAGAGGGUGCAAGCGUUGUUCGGAAUUACUGGGCGUAAAGCGCGUGUAGGCGGUUGUUCAAGUCGGGUGUGAAAGCCUUGAGCUCAACUCAAGAAAUGCACUCGAUACUGGAUGACUUGAGGACCGGAGAGGAUAGUGGAAUUCCCAGUGUAGUGGUGAAAUACGUAGAGAUUGGGAAGAACACCAGUGGCGAAGGCGGCUAUCUGGACGGUUUCUGACGCUAAGACGCGAAAGCGUGGGGAGCAAACAGG
rnacentral:rRNA from 1 species